GGGGAUGUACCGGCUUCGACGGCGGGCCGGGACAGGGAAAAGCAAGCGGCGGGGCCGUCCGCCUCAAAAACGCACCCUAAAUUUAAACGCCAAAACUGAAAAAACGGUAAGCGCUCCGGCGCUUGCGUUCGCUGCUUAACCUAAUCAAGCAGUCGCCGCCCGCCUCUCUCCGGCAGGGGACGGUCACGGUGUCAUCCAUGCCGGAACGCCCGCGGUUUCGCCCCCGGACCGCCCGCGUACUGUAAGGGGCCUCGGCCCGACGGCGUUUGUAUUCUUCGCCGGCCGGCUCAGAUUCAAAGAAUACUAAGCUUGUAGAAAGCCCUCGUCGAAGUCCGUCGGAAAGGGGUUCAACUCCCCUCAUCUCCACCA
rnacentral:tmRNA from 1 species